AGCUCAGAAAACUGCAACUUGUUAACUGUUCUCUCUCUUUUCUGUGGAUUUCAAUUUUCAUCCGAUCCAAACAUGCCUCUGGGAACGCUUGAAGUUCUUCUUGUUGAUGCCAAAGGCCUCGACAACAAUGAUUUUCUGGGUAACUCUCUCUCUCUCUCCCUCUGUGCCUGUGUUAAGGAUCUUCGAUCUCCCAGCUGAUCAUUUACUGUAUGAUUUGUAGAAACAUUUAUACAAGCGAAAUAAUUUCUGGGUUGCUUCCUGCUUCACCCUUUUGUGGAUCUAAACUCCUUGCUAGCUUUGUCUUGUCUGAGUCAAUGCUUUUGCCUGAUUUUUCUAGGCUUGAUGACCCUGUUUUCUUAUGUGUCUAUAAAUAUGUAUGAUUGUGUGGGUCAAAAGUUGAAUCUUUGAUGCACUAACCAACCAAAAACAAAAGAAUCCAUGAAAGUUCUGAGUCACUUUUGCAUAGAUCCAUAGUAAGUUUAAGUUAAGGACAAAGGAUCUAUCUACUUCUGACAAUGGGGGUGCUUGGAUUUACUUAUAACCAUGCUAAGUUGAAUCAGGAAAUUGUGUUUUGGGUCAACAGAAUUGAUAUUUGGAUCCACAAAGAAUUUGAUAUAAAUCUGUUCUACUUUUUAAUCUUUCUGCUUUUAAGUUUCUGAAUUUGCUAAUUAUGUAUGUGUGACAUGGGUUGAAUGCUUUAUGAGCAGCUGACAUGGAUCCCUAUGUCCUUUUGACUCUAAGGACCCAAGAGAAGAAAAGCAAUGUGGUCUCAGGUACAUUUCUACUUCUAGCCAUCUUCAUCUUUUGUGCACAUCUCCCCUGCAAUAAAAUUGUGUAACUUUUGGAAGAACAAUGGCUUAAAUUGGUGCCUGCAGUUUUCAAUGAAUUGUGUUAAAAAAAUUGUACAUGCAGGGCAAGGAUCUGCACCAGAAUGGAAUGAAACCUUUGUAUUUACAGUCUCUGAUGAUGUCUGCGAACUUCAUUUGAAAAUAAUGGAAAAGGAUAAUUUCAGCGCAGACGAUUUUGUUGGAGAAGCAACGUGAGUUUUUUUCUUUUUUGGGAUCCUUUAAUUUGUAUAUGGUCACUCGAAAGUAAUUUGCAGCCCUCAGAAACUAGGUUUUGAGUUCUAACAGUUCAACCACUGAUAUAUUCUCUGGUGAAAAGAGCAUGCCUAACUUAUCCAUGGCUGUUUGCAGCAUUUCAUUAGAGCCCAUUUUCACUGAAGGUAGCAUUCCACCAACUGCAUAUAAUGUUGUCAAUCAGGACAAAGAAUACCGUGGAGAGAUUAAAGUUGGACUCAGAUUCACUCCUGAGCCUGAGGUGCUCUCAAUUUUUUUUUCCUCUUUUGGAACUUUAAAUUUGUAGUCAAUGUUCUAGCUUAUGAUUGUUGUGUUCUAUUUUAUGUUCUAUUUGCUACAUUGUUAAUGUCUUUACUCUGACUGCAUUCGUUGUUGCAGCAAAACGACGGUGCAUCUGGGGAAUAUGGAAGAAACGACGGUCCAUCUGGGGGAUAUGGAAGAAACGACGGUCCAUCUGGGGAAUAUGGUGGUUCCGAGGAGGGCUAUGGUGGAUGGAAACAAUCAUCUUAUGCUGAGGAGUAGGCUAAUUUGGAUCGGAAGAAUCAUCUUACCCGGAAUGACCUUGUGAUUUACAGUGUAAUGUAUGAUGUUCAUUUAGCUGCCUGGUGUUGGCUUGAGAAAAGAGGAGCUUCAGUCAUGUCAGAGGUUUCUUUUUGGUGUGCUUUUGUGUGCAUCAACUUGUUUGAUGAUUGAAAUAAUCAGUCAAGUUUACUGUUUCUGAUUGCUUUGUAUUUGCUUAACCUCAUAAUUAUCCCCAAUCUAUAAAGUAGGGUAAUGUAUCAUCUGGUUCAAUCUAAUCUAAAAAUAAAACCAUGUUGGUUUGCUUUACCUCUUGAUUUUAUUGUUUUCUAUCCAGUAUUGAUACUCAACC
rnacentral:lncRNA from 1 species